AUGACGGCCAGCAAGCUCUCCUGCCGAGGAGCCCGUGCGCCCUCCCCAGCCGCGCGGGAAGUGUGGCGGUCCGACGCCACCGCGACUUAUUCCACGCGGACAGCAGCGUGGCCCCCCGACACCUUCCCCGUGUUCCUGGAACUCUGCGGAAGGCAGGCAGCUAGCAGCUCAGGUUCUGGAAAUGUUGUUCCCUGAAAGGCCACGCGGGGCGCUGCGGGGCGCUGCGGACUCUCUGCCACCCUCCUUGGGUUCCAGAUCUGAACUUCCCGCAAGUUCCCCUGGGAUCUGAGGAGACCACGGGACCAAGAGGAGCAUGCCAGUUGCCGCUCUUGGGAGGAACGGUGUGGUUCCCCCAUCGAUACGGAGAGAAAUCCGGGAAUACGUGUGGGGAUGGCUGUGACGGGUGUGGGACAAUGGUGGGAGGAAUAUAACACAGGAUUGGGUUCAGUUUAUGGAUACAGACCCACUAAGUGGAGAUUGCGUGUGUUUUAGUUUGAGAGGUCAGCAAGGGCUUGUGAGAUGGGUUGGCUAAGAUGGGGACCAAACAGUGGCCCACACCUAAUGAAAUCAAAAUGCCAGAACAGGCUUGCUGUGCUCCAGAACGUAUCUAAUAACUUAG
rnacentral:lncRNA from 1 species